AGUGAGUAUAUAAACCCUGGCGGUGCUUGCUGGAGACAUCAGUUGGGCUUCAUCUCUCGAGACGUCAACAACACAGCUCCUAUUCAACAUGUGGACUAAGUUUGUCAUGAUGGUGGUGGCGGCUCUUGUGGUCAUUCUGGGCACAGCUGAGGCGGCUCCUGGAUUUGCUGGCGGCUAUGGUGGCGGCUAUGGUGGCGGCUAUGGUGGCGGCUUCGGAGGAGGCCAUGGUGGAGGCUAUGGUGGCGGCUAUGGUGGGGGAUAUGGAAAGUAAACCUCGUCUACCUGUUCUCUCGCCACCUGUUGGAGGAGACCCACACCUGUUGGUCUCGAUCCACACCUGCUGGACAAGACCCACACCUGUUAGUCUCGAUUCACACCUGCUGGACAAGACCCACACCUGUUAGUCUCGAUUCACACCUGCUGGACAAGACCCACACCUGCUGGUCUCGAUCCUACACCUGUUGGUCUCGAGCCUACACCUGUUGGUCUCGAUUCACACCUGUAGACUUAAUUACCCUCCACUUAAUUAGGAUAAUUUACCUGACCUAACUCUUUGACAAAAAAAAAGAAGGAAAUUAGACGUUGGAUGUAAUAAAUAUAUAUUUUUUAAUAAACCUUUACCGACAGUCAA